GCCAGGCUCAGUCCUCCGCCGUGCGGCCUCCGGUGCCUCAGUCUCCCCCUCUGCCGUAUGGGGAUGAUAAUAGAGCGAUUCAGAGCCAAGGGCCCGAGCACCUCUGCAGACAGCCUUGGAGGAGGCGGCGAACUGUCCCUCAGACCCUGAGUGCGUCUUUCCCGGACCCAGACCAGGCGGCAGCAGAGGCAGCCGGUGGCAUCCCGCGAGUCCUCCGCAGGGGACAGCCGUGCAGGGCGGUGGCUGCAUGCUGGCCCCUGAACAGCCGUCUCAGAUGUCUGUGAAAUACAUUUUGGGUGGAUUGAAGAUUUUGGAAACCGCAGGACCAGGGGGUCUUGAAUAUUCCCCCCGAGUCUGGCUGGAGCUCAAACGAGGACUCUCCACUGACCAGACCGCGGACGCCACCAGGGCGGAGAGCUGGCGGCCUCCCGGCUGGCAGCCCCGUGCCCACGCGUGUCACGGGAGCACACAGGAUUGGGAAGAACGCAGCCCCGCUCCAGGGAGCCAACGUCAGCCUGGGAAAUGUGCAGCCUCAGCGUGCCUGGCAGCAGAGCAGCGUCACACACUCGCCGUGAUUGCGAACAUGUGGCCGCUUCCCUUUGCGAGAAAUAACAA